rnacentral:rRNA from 1 species
AACGUAGGUUCCGAGCGUUAUCCGGAUUUACUGGGCGUAAAGCGCGUUCAGGCGGUUUGGCAAGUCGGGCAUGAAAUCUCUCGGCUCAACCGGGAGAGGUUGUCCGAUACUUCCAGACUUGAGGGCAGUAGAGGGUGGUGGAACUCCGGGUGUAGUGGUGAAAUGCGUAGAUAUCCGGAGGAACACCAGUGGCGAAAGCGGCCACCUGGACUGCACCUGACGCUGACACGCGAAAGCUAGGGGAGCGAACGGG